UUUGUGGCAAGCCUGACCACAACAGGAAGGGCCACUACAAGUACCAGGAGGCCCUACUUGGAGGAGGAUAUGAAAUAGAUGAAAAUUAUGAUGACCCUUCUUUUCUUCAGCUGCAGGUGAUUCCAUUCCACAACCUAGAGUUAUUACAACCGAAAUGAACAUAGGCAGGAGUACAAGAGCAACCCGAAGAGCUGAAACAGGGGAAGGAUCACAACAUGUUGCAAGAGGUAAUAAAAGACAGAGGGGAGCUGGAAGAGGAGCUGCUGAUAUUGCAGGCACAUCUGUAGCUGCUGCUAGGGGAAGAGGAGCUGGAAGGGGAAGCAUCUCUGGAAGAACUGCAGGAGGUAGAGCUGGAAGAGGAGCUGGAAGGGGAAGGAACACUGCAACAGCUAGUACUGGAAGAGGUGCUGGAAUAUCUUCAGGUGUUGACACAUCUUUAGGACUUGGAUUUGGUACUGGAAGAGGUGCAUAUUACUGGUUGUUUGGAGAUGACAGGGCUACAGAAAUUCCAGAUCUCAACUUGUAGGCCAUUCCAUUAGUACACCUACAAGUUCAUGAAUGAACUUUAUUUUGUCUCACCAAAUGUAAGAGUUCAUGGAUGAACUUUCUUUAGUGAUGUAUUUUGUGACAGCAAACUCCAUGGUGCUGCUGCUAAACUUAAGUGUAUUCUGUGACAGCAAACUCUUUUAUGCUG